GAAGGAGCUUGCUCCUUUGACGUUAGCGGCGGACGGGUGAGUAACACGUGGGCAACCUACCUUAUAGUUUGGGAUAACUCCGGGAAACCGGGGCUAAUACCGAAUAAUCUAUUUAACUUCAUGGUGAAAUACUGAAAGACGGUUUCGGCUGUCGCUAUAAGAUGGGCCCGCGGCGCAUUAGCUAGUUGGUGAGGUAACGGCUCACCAAGGCGACGAUGCGUAGCCGACCUGAGAGGGUGAUCGGCCACACUGGGACUGAGACACGGCCCAGACUCCUACGGGAGGCAGCAGUAGGGAAUCUUCCACAAUGGGCGAAAGCCUGAUGGAGCAACGCCGCGUGAGUGAAGAAGGUUUUCGGAUCGUAAAACUCUGUUGUAAGGGAAGAACAAGUACAGUAGUAACUGGCUGUACCUUGACGGUACCUUAUUAGAAAGCCACGGCUAACUACGUGCCAGCAGCCGCGGUAAUACGUAGGUGGCAAGCGUUGUCCGGAAUUAUUGGGCGUAAAGCGCGCGCAGGCGGUCCUUUAAGUCUGAUGUGAAAGCCCACGGCUCAACCGUGGAGGGUCAUUGGAAACUGGGGGACUUGAGUGCAGAAGAGGAAAGUGGAAUUCCAAGUGUAGCGGUGAAAUGCGUAGAGAUUUGGAGGAACACCA
rnacentral:rRNA from 1 species